rnacentral:rRNA from 1 species
GACGUAGGAGGCGAGCGUUAUCCGGAUUCACUGGGCGUAAAGGGCGCGUAGGCGGCCUGUGCAAGUCAGUUGUGAAAUCUCCGAGCCUAACUCGGAACGGUCAACUGAUACUGCUCGGCUAGAGUGCGGGAAGGGCAACUGGAAUUCUUGGUGUAGCGGUGAAAUGCGUAGAUAUCAAGAGGAACACCUGCGGCGAAGGCGGGUUGCUGGGCCGACACGUGACGCUGAGGCGCGAAAGCUAGGGGAGCGAACGGGG